CAAGGAAUAGUUUAAGUAGAAUAUCAGCUUUGGGUGUUGAUGGUGGAGCUAGGGCUUCUUCCUUGAG
rnacentral:tRNA from 1 species